UAGUUUCUGGUAGCAAAGAAGACCCUCCAGGGGAGUUAGGGGGAUCAACAUCUCAUCAAUGAAGUGGUUAGUUUGGAAUAUAAGGGGUGUACAUAAAAGGUACAAGCAGAAAGAAGUUAGGGAGUAUAUUAGAAAAAACAACAUAUUAAUUUGGAAUAUAAUUGGUGUAAAUAAAAGGUACAAGCAGAAAGAAGUGAGGGAGUAUAUUAGGAAAAACAACAUUAACCUAAUUGGAUUAGUAGAAACUAAG
rnacentral:lncRNA from 1 species